rnacentral:rRNA from 1 species
UACGAAGGGGGCUAGCGUUGCUCGGAAUUACUGGGCGUAAAGGGCUCGUAGGCGGCCAACUAAGUCAGACGUGAAAUCCCCAGGCUCAACCUGGGAACUGCGUCUGAUACUGGAUGGCUUGAAUCCGGGAGAGGGAUGCAGAAUUCCAGGUGUAGCGGUGAAAUGCGUAGAGAUCUGGAGGAACACCGAUGGCGAAGGCAGCCCCCUGGGCUAGCACUGACGCUCAUACACGAAAGCGUGGGGAGCAACGGG